rnacentral:misc_RNA from 1 species
ACGCAGCCCGGCUUGAGAGGAGCUCUUUUUGUUUUUAGAAAAAAAAACAAAAAAGCGGGAGCGGAAGACGGAAAAGCU